GUACAGCCCGUCCCCGCCGCGGAGGUGCCGGUGGAGCCUGGGACCGGGCGAGUCUCCGCCCCGCUUUUGCAGCUAGGGGUGUGUUUCAGGGGGGAUUGGGGCAAGCCAAGCAGGCGAGGACCCGGGCCUGUGCCGCUUUGCCUACCCCUCAUCCCUCGGCACCAAGGCUACUUGAGCCCCAGGGUGUUUUUUCCUUGUUCCCGCCACCUCUUGGUCCCUGGCCCAACAUGAUACUGACCAAAGCUCAGUACGACGAGAUAGCCCAGUGCCUAGUGUCUGUGCCGCCUACCAGGCAGAGCCUGAGGAAGCUGAAGCAGAGGUUUCCCAGUCAAUCGCAGGCCACUCUGCUGAGCAUCUUCUCCCAGGAGUACCAGAAACACAUUAAAAGAACACAUGCCAAACAUCAUACUUCAGAAGCAAUUGAAAGUUACUACCAGAGGUACCUGAAUGGAGUGGUGAAAAAUGGAGCUGCCCCAGUGCUCCUGGACCUGGCCAAUGAGGUGGACUAUGCGCCCUCGUUAAUGGCUCGGCUUAUACUGGAGAGGUUUCUACAGGAACACGAGGAAACUCCACCCUCCAAGUCUGUUAUAAAUAGUAUGCUACGGGACCCUUCUCAGAUUCCAGAUGGAGUUCUAGCAAAUCAGGUCUAUCAGUGCAUUGUGAACGACUGCUGUUAUGGACCACUAGUGGACUGCAUCAAGCAUGCCAUUGGUCAUGAGCAUGAGGUCCUGCUGAGAGACUUGCUUCUAGAGAAAAACCUGUCCUUCCUAGAUGAAGAUCAGCUUCGUGCAAAGGGUUAUGACAAAACACCAGACUUCAUUUUACAAGUACCAGUUGCUGUAGAAGGGCACAUAAUUCACUGGAUUGAAAGCAAAGCCUCAUUUGGUGAUGAAUGUAGCCACCAUGCCUACCUGCAUGACCAGUUCUGGAGCUACUGGAAUAGAGAUGGGAUCUCACAAUAUUCCUCAGGCUGGUGUGGAACUCCUGGGCUCAGCGAUUCUUCUGCCUCAGCCACCCAAAGUGCUGGAAUUACAGGAGCGAGGAAACAUUUUCUACCAGGAAUCUUUAUGAAAUGUGUUUGUAAAUAACAAAAACAUUUUCAAAUUGUUGGAAAUUUUUCAGCAGUUAGUGCAUUAAAAAAAAAAAAAACUUUCAACCAGCAUGUGUUUCCUCAUCUUAAACAAUAAGUAGCAAUGUUUGGAAAAUGUUUGUUAUAUUAUCUCUCUAAAUAAAAGUUGAUAGUUCCCGUAACACUUGUAACAAACA
rnacentral:sRNA from 1 species